AUGACCUUUCUCUUGGGUCGCUCCUUCCCUGUUCAUCUGAUUUCUUUGCCCUCUCCAGGACUCUGUCUCUGCCGUCACACACGGGACCUCUACCUUCUCCACUUCCCAGCUACCCUGACUUCCUUUGAGCCUUUGUCACUUUCGAUUUUAGUUCCAUUCAAUUCACAAGGUUUUGUGAGAAUACCUCAAGUUGGAGUUGGAAGGAAGAUUUACCACGACUUUGAAGUGGAAUCAGGACAUCUGUUAGGUGAGGUGGGAGAGUCUUCGCUUAUGCAUUCAUACACGCUGGAGCUACUCAGACGGCAGCGGGGAAGAAGCCGUGAUGGAACAGCUCUCCAGACCUGCUGGUGGCCUGACUGUGGCUUUCGAAAUCCAUACUCCUUUCUUAACUUCUGUUUAAGGAAUAUCCAAACCAUUCCCUUCCUGCAAGAUAAAAAUCCAGAAAGGCAGAAAAUACCCAAGAAAACCCAAACUCACAAUACCUUGUACUGUACUUUAUAUGUGGUCCUGUGUGUAUCUUGGAGAAGGAAAAUGGCAACCCACUCCAGUAUUUUUGCCUGGAGAGAACCCCAUGGACAGAGGAGCCUGGCAGGCUGCAGUCGAUGGGUCACAAGAGUCAGACACGACUUGGCGACUAAAUCACCACCAUGUAUAUCUUAUUAA
rnacentral:lncRNA from 1 species